rnacentral:lncRNA from 1 species
UAGUAUUAUUCGGUUUAAAAGUUAUGAUCUAUAGUUAAAUUCACAAGUUUUUGUUGGCUUAAAUGGGUCAGCAUUCUGCCCUGUGACAGGAUGCCAUGUUGGGCUGAGUCACGUUCGAAAUGCCGUGACUCUGGAUCGGCCAAGUCAUAUUCGAAGUGGCGUGAGGUCGGGUGGGCCGAGUCACAAUUGAGAUCUGUGGGCACUGUAUUUAUACACUUUAAGUGAAUUGGUUGCGUAUUUCGAACAACUCGAACUUUUGGAAUUAAUGGUUAGCGCCAACGAUCCGACAAGUGGCAUUAGAGCCAAAGAUCAUUGGUUUGAUUCCCGCAUGUUGCAAAUGUGUUUAGAUGGACCAGGAUCCUGUCCUGUGACGGAAGGUUAUGUUAAGCCGAGUCAUGUUCGAAGUGGGCCCUACUUGUGACGGGAGGUUAUAUUGGGCAGAGUCAUGUUCAAAAUGGCGUGAGGUCAACGCUUUAAGUGAAUUGGUUGCGUAUGUCUAACAGCUCGAGCAUUUGGUAUUAAUAGUUAGCGCCAACGAUCCGACGGUUUAACUAUCUAACUUUAGCUUUGGAAUUAAUAAUUAGCGCCAACGAUCUGACAGGUUAACUACCUAACUUGGAGUUUCUCUUUUACG